UGGUUAGGCAAAGCCAUGCUGCAUUGCCCUUGCCUCUGACCUCUCUACCUCCAUAAUUAAUAUUUAUAUUUAUAUUUAUAUUUAUAUAUACAUACAUGUUUGGGGCACCAUCACCCCACACUCGCGUGUCUUAGGGUGUGCAUGCCGGGCUCUUGUCCCUCUCCUCUCACUUGCCCACAUUUGCUUCCCCUUCAUCCCCUCAUUUUAUGGCUUCUUAAUUUGAUUUUUGUUUUGUUUUACCAACAAUGGCCAUGAUUCCUUCUUAAUCUGCAACUGCGCUGCAAGACAGAUAGUUUGAAACCUUUGAGACUGUUCCUCUUUCAUUUUUUUUUCCUUAUCGUUUGUAGUUUUAAAUUUGGUCAUGUUUGUCCUAUUAGGUGAAAGGCUCAAGGUUGGGAAAGGGUCAGGGAUUUGAGAAUAAAAUACCAGCUAUGCUUGUUGCAUGGUGGUGGUGAUAGAGAUUCCAACUAUUGUCUUUAGUCAGAUAUGUGUGUUGUGUUCUAUCAUUGUUUUCAAUAACAGUUUGCUCUAAUCCCUAAUGACUUGAUUAAACGAUCUAUUUGUAAGAUACCAGGAUUCAUUUAUGACUUUGUUCAGCUUCGGUAUUGCUCUGCUCCCCAUGAAUUGAUGCUGGAAAAGGAUGUGAAAGCAAUGUAAUGUUAUUCCACCAAAAACCUGACCAUUUAUACAGCGGUUGACUUGAAAGGGGCAAACAGGGUCAGGGUGAUGGUGAUGGGGAGGUUGGUGGUGUUGGUGCUACAUCCAUUGGAUGAGCACUGGUUUCAAAUUAGGCAGAAAUUGCGUGUGGCAGGUGCUUGCCAAGGUACACAAUGAGUUUAACAAUUUACCAUGCGCAAGCAGCAGAUCAUGAGACCGGAAGAGUUAAGCAGGGAUGGUGGCAGGAUAGAACCAAACUCUUGGCAUUUGUCUUCACGAUACUCUACAUUACUAUGCUUUUCCAAUUUUCAUGGGCUUGCUUUCAGACCAUGUAACCUCAUUGCAAAGUACUGUCCUAAUCAGCCAUGUCUGAGGAAAUGCACUUCGUGCAUUACCUAGGUGAAAGAAAGAAAAGAUUACUGGUCUUGGAAAUGGCAUCCCUUUUCACAAUUGCCCAAAGCAUUCGGUGUUAAUUAUCCCAGAAAGUAUGAUUGGCACUUAGUCUUUCUCUUAUCUUAAUUUCUACUAGGAGUACUAUUUUUAUUUCUAUUUUUUUUCUCUGAAAUAUGCCAGCGUAUUUUAUUAAAUGCUAUGAACUUUUUUAAUCAAA